ACUCCUACGGGAGGCAGCAGUAGGGAAUCUUCGGCAAUGGACGGAAGUCUGACCGAGCAACGCCGCGUGAGUGAAGAAGGUUUUCGGAUCGUAAAGCUCUGUUGUAAGAGAAGAACGAGUGUGAGAGUGGAAAGUUCACACUGUGACGGUAUCUUACCAGAAAGGGACGGCUAACUACGUGCCAGCAGCCGCGGUAAUAC
rnacentral:rRNA from 1 species